GGAGGGUACAGCUCAAUGGUAGAGUGCGUACUUAGUAUGCACGAAGUCUUGGGUUCAAUCCCCAGUCCUUCCA
rnacentral:tRNA from 1 species